rnacentral:rRNA from 1 species
GACGAACGCGGCGGCGUGCCUAAUACAUGCAAGUAGAACGCUGAAGGGAGAGCUUGCUCUUCUGGAUGAGUUGCGAACGGGUGAGUAACGCGUAGGUAACCUGCCUGGUAGCGGGGGAUAACUAUUGGAAACGAUAGCUAAUACCGCAUAACAUUGACUAUUGCAUGAUAGUCAAUUGAAAGGUGCAAAUGCACCACUACCAGAUGGACCUGCGUUGUAUUAGCUAGUUGGUGGGGUAACGGCUCACCAAGGCGACGAUACAUAGCCGACCUGAGAGGGUGAUCGGCCACACUGGGACUGAGACACGGCCCAGACUCCUGCGGGAGGCAGCAGUAGGGAAUCUUCGGCAAUGGACGGAAGUCUGACCGAGCAACGCCGCGUGAGUGAAGAAGGUUUUCGGAUCGUAAAGCUCUGUUGUAAGAGAAAGAAACGAGUGUGAGAAGUGAAAAGUUCCACCACUG